rnacentral:lncRNA from 1 species
UGCAUGUUAAUGAAGAUAUUUACAAAAUUGAUUUCGUAAAGAAGGUACUCUUAUGGGGAAAGAUACAUGGAUUGAACUGUAUGUUGAUAAAACCAAAACUUGUAUAUCCUAUAUGUUUUAGUCACUACUGAUAAAAAUAAAUAAAGUAAAGGUGAAUGUACUAUAAUUGCAAAGGAGUAUAUCUUUGUUAAAUAUCCAUCAUAAAGUAAAAGGAUAAACACGGC